rnacentral:lncRNA from 1 species
UAAUAGUGGUUCCGACGGUGUGUCCUUGUUUGGUUCCAUCCAUUGCCGCUUCAAUCUGUUACUUGUCUGUUGCCGGAAAAGAAAAAAAAAGGAUUAGAAAUACAAUUGAAUAAAAUUAGGGAUUUCAAAAACGAAAGAAAUUGAAAUAUUGAAGGGGGAAAUACAUGAAAUAUGAAAGAAGGAUUUGGGUGAGAAGAGAACCUAAUAUGUAAGAAUAAAAAGAACAUGAAAUCAAUAGUUAGUGUUGUAUAUUUCAUAACCUAUCUUACUCAAUCAAACCCUAAUUUGUGAACCUGAACAAACCAUAAAACAUUCCAAAAAGAAAACAAAAUCAGAAAUGAUCAAUCAACAUCAAAUUGAAGGAAAUAAAAUAAAACAAAAUAGAAUUGAUUUGGAAACCCAUACUUUGAAGCUUGAGGCUGCCGCCACCUUCAUGGUGCGUGUGCUGCUUCUUCAUUCCUUAUGAGAGAGAUGGAGGAAGAAAAAAACAAAGUGAAAAUCAAAAUUUUAUUAAAUAGUGCAACAGAAAUAAAAUUUAUAAUUCAAGCCUUCAUUUAUUCUCUUCUUCUUUGCUGCAGAGAAAAAAAAUGUAGUCAAGGAAUGUCAUUGACAUGGUUUUGAAAGUAAAAAAAAGUACUAACCAAAAGAAAAACUAUUUUUCAUGCAUUCUAUAGUGUCCAAAUUUCCACUGGUACUAACCAAGUAUUAUUUAUUUAAGAUAAAACACAAAACCAAUGGUAGUAGUAGCAGUCAGAAUUAAAAAAACUUUAAAGAUGUGAAGUGUAAACUUACCCAUAUCUGAUUCAUUAUUCCAGUAGAAGCUUGAUAACCUUUAGUACACCCUCUAAAUAAACAAUAUCACCCUUAAUUCUUGAAUACAUCACAUCAUUCCCAAUUUUGUGGAAAAAGAGACAUAAAAUGGAAAUCAAAAUGAAACUGCUAUGAGUAAGAAAGAAAAACUACAUAAAUGGAAAACGAAUGAAAUAGCAAAAAAAUUAACCAUCCCUUUACAAAUAACAAAUAAAACAAAUUAAAUUGAUACAAAUCUUCAAAAAAAAAAAAUCUGAAAUUUAACAAAUACAAAUCAUAUUGCAGUGAAGAAAACCAUCUAAAUUAUCCCAAUAACAACUUCUAAAAUGUAGGGAUUAUUAGCUAAAAGAUAGAAACAACUAAUUGAUAGGAUAUUUUAUAUCAGUAGUUGCUAAUUUGAAAUCAAAAUAAAAUGAGGUUGUUAUCAAUUGAGAAAAAUUAGGAACUGGGGUUAUCCAACAAUCAAAACUUAUUUACCANNNNNNNNNNNNNNNNNNNNNNNNNNNNNNNNNNNNNNNNNNNNNNNNNNNNNNNNN